GAGGGUAUAGCUCAGUGGUAGAGCGCAUGCUCAGCAUGCACGAAGUCCUGGGUUCGAUCCCCAGCACCUCCA
rnacentral:tRNA from 1 species